AAGAUGAAAAGAGAAAGGAAAAGGAAGAAAGAAGAAAAACAAAAAAGGGAGGUUCAGUUUUAGAGGAGUUAGAGCAAAAACCGAGAGGUUUUCCUCCCCCACACAUGCCAUUGUUGGAGCUUGAAGGACAAAGUGGAGGAUCGGAUUGGUGAUUCUAAGCAAUGGAGACCGAGGAUGUAAGGAAAUGGUGAACUAUAGGUAGAAUUCAAGCUAAAACCGAGAGGAAGUGUAUAAGUAAGGAAAGGGUGCUGUGGUGGCGUGUCGAAGGAAGUAAUGGGUGACCGACAAGUAAAAUUAGCUAGAUAUUCAUCUGAAUCGGU